rnacentral:rRNA from 1 species
GACGAACGCUGGCGGCGUGCCUAAUACAUGCAAGUCGAACGCUUUUUCUUUCACCGGAGCUUGCUCCACCGAAAGAAAAAGAGUGGCGAACGGGUGAGUAACACGUGGGUAACCUGCCCAUCAGAAGGGGAUAACACUUGGAAACAGGUGCUAAUACCGUAUAACACUAUUUUCCGCAUGGAAGAAAGUUGAAAGGCGCUUUUGCGUCACUGAUGGAUGGACCCGCGGUGUAUUAGCUAGUUGGUGAGGUAACGGCUCACCAAGGCAACGAUGCAUAGCCGACCUGAGAGGGUGAUCGGCCAAACUGGGACUGAAACACGGCCCAGACUCCUACGGGAGGCAGCAGUAGGGAAUCUUCGGCAAUGGACGAAAGUCUGACCGAGCAACGCCGCGUGAGUGAAGAAGGUUUUCGGAUCGUAAAACUCUGUUGUUAGAGAAGAACAAGGAUGAGAGUAAAAUGUUCAUCCCUUGACGGUAUCUAACCAGAAAGCCACGGCUAACUACGUGCCAGCCGCCGCCGUAA